UACGGAGGGGGGCGAGCGUUUGUCCGAAGUUACUGGGCGUAAAGCGCGCGUAGGCGGGAUGGCAAGUCGGUCGUGAAAUCCCUCGGCUCAACCGAGGAACGUCGAUCGAUACUGCUGUUCUUGAGGAUUGCAGAGGAGACUGGAAUUCCCGGUGUAGCGGUGAAAUGUGUAGAGAUCGGGAGGAACACCGGUGGCGAAGGCGGGUCUCUGGGCAAUUCCUGACGCUGAGGCGCGAAAGCGUGGGGAGCAAACGGG
rnacentral:rRNA from 1 species